rnacentral:lncRNA from 1 species
CGUAGCGGCACGAGCCUUAACAGUGAAGAACAAAAUCAGGCUAAGAAUAUCAGCUCAUAAUAGUUUCUCUGGUGAGAAAAGAAGAGCAAGCGAUUGUUGAUAUCUUUAGAAAUGUGUUUAUUUUGCUGGGAAUAUAUUAUCUCAACAGUGGUGCACAUUUUAGGCUCUGGACUGUAAUGAUUAUAGGGAAUCUUUCUUCUUCUUCUUCUUCUUCUUCUUCUUCUUCUUCUUGUUACAAUUUUUAUUUUAUUUUUUGAAAUAAUAUUUAUUAAGGUUUCAAAAACAGAAGAUUACAUAGAUAAAAAGAAAAGAAACAAAAGAAAAAAUAAAAAAUACAAAAUACAAAACACAGAAAAAAGAUAAAAAAAACACUUAAAAACAAAUCAGUCUUUCCGUACCUUACAUUUCAUUUCCUUGUUUCCCUGACCUCCUCUCACCUCCCUUUUUUGUAUUCCAGUUCAAUUGGUUAAUUCAGCAAUUCCUUUCCCUCUUUGUUUUUGUCUUAAUCCUUUAACUUAAUAUAUUAUAGCUUUGGAUUCUCACCUAUUAACAAUCCAUUUUUACAUACACCUUUAUAACAUUGCUGCUAAAACCACUUCUGACAUCAUUCUAACAUUCAUUAAUUUUGCAGUAUUUCUGUAAAUAAUCUUUAAAUUUCUUCCAAUCUUCUUCCACCGACUCUUCUCCCUGGUCUCGGAUUCUGCCAGUCAUUUCCGCCAAUUCCAUAUAGUCCAUCACCUUCAUCUGCCAUUCUUCCAGAGUGGGUAAAUCUUGUGUCUUCCAAUAUUUUGUAAUAAGUAUUCUUGCUGCUGUUGUGGAAUACAUAAAGAAAGUUCUGUCCUUCUUUGGCACCAAUUGGCCAACUAUGCCCAGGAGGAAGGCCUCUGGUUUCUUCAAGAAGGUAUAUUUAAAUACCUUUUUCAUUUCAUUAUAAAUCAUCUCCCAGAAAGCCUUAAUCCUUGGGCACAUCCACCAAAGGUGAAAGAAUGUACCUUCAGUUUCUUUACAUUUCCAACAUUUGUUAUCGGGCAAAUGAUAGAUUUUUGCAAGCUUGACUGGUGUCAUGUACCACCUGUAUAUCAUUUUCAUAAUAUUCUCUCUUAAGGCAUUACAUGCCGUAAACUUCAUACCUGUGGACCAUAACUGUUCCCAGUCAGCCAUCAUUAUGUUAUGUCCAACAUCUUGUGCCCAUUUAAUCAUAGCAGAUUUCACCGUUUCAUCCUGAGUAUUCCAUUUCAACAGCAAGUUAUACAUCUUUGACAAGAUCUUAGUUUUGGGUUCUAACAGUUCUGUUUCUAAUUUUGAUUUUUCCACCUGGAAGCCAAUUUUCUUGUCCAAAUUGUAUGCCUCCAUUAUCUGAUAAUAAUGAAGCCAAUCUCGCACUUUGUUUUUUAGUCUCUCAAAACUCUGCAGUUUCAAUCUAGCUCCCUCUUGUUCCAGAAUUUCCCAAUAUUUCGGCCAUUUGGCCUCCAUAUUGAGCUUUUUCUGUGCUUUCGCUUCCAUCGGUGACAGCCACCUUGGGGUUUUAUUUUCCAAUAGAUCCUUAUAUCUUAUCCAGACAUUAAACAAUGCUUUCCUGGCAAUAUGAUUUUUAAAUGCUUUAUGUGCUUUGACCUUAUCAUACCACAAAUAUGCAUGCCACUUCUUGUUACAAUUUUUACCCACUCUUCAUCAUCAGGUCCCAGGGCAGGUUAAAACUGUUUUAAAUAUAUAAUACUAAAAACCGAUUUUUAAAAAUACAGUUGCAAAAUUAGGGUGGAUCCUAAAAUAUUGUAUAUAUAAUAUACUGUACACAGGCUGAUUAUUACUAUUACUAUUUAUUACUUGUACACCGCCCAUCUGACUGGAUUGCCUCAGCGUCUUGGGACGGCUUCCAACAGAAUAUAAAAAACACAGCAAAACAUCAAACAUUUAAAACUUCUCUUCAGCAUAUAAUGAAAAUGACAUAGUUAAGGUGCUAGAUGUACCUCUUUGGGGAGGAAAUCCCACAACUUAGGAGCUGCCCCAGAGAAUGCUCUCUCCCAGGCUGACACCGUGACCCCAAGUUUCUGAGGACUAGAACAACAAAGAGCACCCCCCUCUGUCAAUCUUAACGCCUGAGAUGUUCUAUAGGGGAGGAAUCGUUCUUUCAGAUAUUUCGGUACUAAGUUAUUUCGAGCUUUAAACACUGAUGUGAGUGCCUUGAAUUGGGCCUGGAAACAAACUGGGAACCAAUUGCUUUUGAUGGUAAUGUGUAUAUAUGGUAUAUUACUUCAGUGCUUGGUUGCUGUAAGAACAGGAUGCUGGACUAGGUCGACCUUUUGGCAGCUGCCCCGCUAAAUAAAUAAAAAUCAAUACAAUUGAUUGCCCCCCCCAACAAAACCUGCCCCCUCCUAGCAAAAGGUGCCCCCCCUAACAAAAAUGCUGGGUACGCCCAUGGUUGACCCUGAUAAGUUUGAAGGCCCUCCUCCAUUCUAAUGGCUUAGGGCCAUGAAACUCCUGCCCUACCAGUACCUCUGUAUCUGAAUAUGCAUCAUAUAUUCUCUCCCUCCUCCACACCUGUUUACUGAGCCUUCAGCCUGAUCUGCUUGCAAAAAGCUUAUGCAGAGCUUAGACCACGUCUGGUCUUUAUUGAGCAUUAAUUCUGAUUUGUUUGCAGGGCAGUAUAUGACAAUCAGCCCUUGUCCUUUCGCUGUUCUUAUACAUUUUCCCAUUGGCCAAUCGUUUAUCUAACACAGAGCUUUCCGAACUUAGUGUGUCAGCUGCAAUGUGGAGGUGUGUCGCGCGAACGCUCCCCACUCUCCUCCCAUGGCUGAAAAUGGGUUAGUUAAAUCUCCAGUUUGCUAGUAAAACUGAAUUACUGUGUUGCAAAAUGAUGCAUAUCUAAAAGUGUGUCACCAACAUGAAAAGUUUGGAAAUCUCUGAACACUUCUCAGUGUGCUUCCCCAUCACUUUCCUAACCACAAAACAGCAUUUUUAAAAGGUAUAUUUGUUGUGCUAUGGCGACAGAGCACUUUGACCCACAUUAAUUGUGCAAACCAAAAUUUCCAGUAUGUACUUGAAUCCCUUGCCUCCCACUCACACCUCUAUCUAAAUAAGCCCUGUACAGUAAGCGGGGGUUACGGUAUGUUCCAGGCCCCUGCUCGCAUUAGCAAAAUGUGUGUAAGUAGGGAGCACCCUCUAAACAACUAUUUUUACCUGCUCUCCAUGCUCUUUUUCUUUUAUACAGUGCCUUUGCCUCCAAAUCACCAGAAAGGUCAGGGAACACUGCAAUCCAGCUUCCCCAACAGCUGUUGAACAGCGUAGUGCAGCAGCAGUGAGAGCUCCCAUGCGCUGUUUUGGAGCCAAUAAGUUGGUUUUCAAAGCUUUGUUUCUGGACUUUUGGCUCACUGGUGUUCUCUUCAGGCUCUAGGGAUGGUCUCCUCAUGAGCCACGAGGACUUUCUGGCUCUCUCUCCCCACUUCCAGGUUUGAAUUGAAUUAAUUUAUUUGUUUCCCAGCACCUCAAGUAUACGUGUUUGCACGCAGGUCAAUCAUGCGUAAGUGGGGGAUGCCUGUAUUUGAAGAGCUGUCUGGAUGAAGUCCAGCUUAAAAAUAAAUGAAGAGCCUUAAAUCACGUUCACACCAUAUGCUUAAAGCACAGAGAUUCCCCCAAAGAAUCCUGGGAACUGUCAUUUGUUAAGGGUGCUGGGAACCACAACUCUCUGAGGGGGUAAAUUGCAGUUCCUAUGGUUAUUUGGAGGAAGCCAUGUGCUUUAAACUUAUGGUGUGGAUGUCACCUUGGGCAAUAUAAGACCAAAAGCAGGGGGAAAUGGAAAUGAGAGUGCAGUUCAAUGAUUUGUCAGCGGGUCAUUAUAUCAGUGAACAGUUGUUGUGUCAAGGCUGUGAAAAGGAAUACCACAUAAUGAUUAAACAGGUGCACUGUCCAGCCUCAAAGGUUCAGUCCCAAAAUAACUUUAGAAGGGGAGAAAGAGGCACAAUCUUACUUGGGCCCAUUUUUUCCUUUCUUUGCCACUUGGCAUGAGUGGCUGCUAGGCUAAUUUUAGGUAGGUUGCCAAGGCACCACCAGGCGAAGUCAGAAGCCAAGCUUCUAAUUAUAGCCGAGAAACUAAUCUUUUUGCUUUCCCUCUGCAGCCCAGAGCACCAGCAGCUACAAUGUGGACAAAACAGACUCGGUUUUUAAUUUAUAUUGUACCCCAGGAUUCUCAAGUCAGGCAUAGUGUGCUAUUGUAAAAUCAUGAGAUUUUAAUAUUAUCAGUGGCAGCUGGUCAUUUAGGGCAAAUGGGACACUGCGCUACCAACCUCAGACAACCCUCACCUGCCUUGCUUCCUACUGACAACCAGGCCAGGGGGUGGCACUGCUUGCCAGCUCUCUUCUCCUUAGGUCUUAUCCAUGCCCCCAUUUCCCUCGCCACUUUUACCUGGGGCAACCUGUUAUUUAGCACUGAAUCGGAACAAAUAGCAUUCGGGUUUUCUGUGGAUUGCUGCUUGUUCUGAUUUAGUGCUAAAGAGUGGGUUGACCUAGGGGAAGUUGUGGAGCAAGGGCACAACUGCUCAGACCCAUGCCUUGUAGAAUUCAACAGGGAGGAGGGUGGGAACAAAGCAGAAUUAGUUGGCUCCAGCUGUCAUUGGCUCUAGCUCUGGCUUUGCCUACUGCUGGGCUCCCUGCCUUUUACGUAUGCAGUCCAAAUGGGCAUUAGCCACCACUGAAUGUAUUUAAAAUCUUCUGGUUACUUUAGUUCAGGACCGUCUCCUCUGUAACUCCAUAUCCUUAAAAACAGACUCAAAUUUUAUCCUACUUAAGCCUUUGUGUAUUUAAAAUCUCCACGAUUUUCUGCUGGUUCUCUCCCACACCCCUCAAUCCCCACUGACUGUUAAGCCUUGCAUUGUCUUUAUCUAACCUGUGCUCACUUUUCCCCUGCACUCACUUCUUUAUCAUGUCUUCCUAUCUUUAUUUUAAUCAUAGAUAACUAGCACAGGUUACCAAUUUCACACACACACACACAUACAGACCCUGCUGCCAAAGAACCUUGGGAUUUAUUUGUUUUCUUAUAUUUCUGUCCCACUUUUCUUCCAUCAUGGAAUCCCAAAUUGUGUCCAUGUCACUCCCAGGCAGUCGCACAUCCAGCUACUUGCCAGAUCCAUACCUCCAUAUGGGAGUUUUUUGUAUACUUCAGUGCUGCUGAUGCAUGCAAGUUUUUCAUAGCAUCCAUGCAAUGCUGUCAUUGAACUACCAUCCACUAUUAUUUUCCCAUUUAAUUUUCCUUUCCGGUGAGAAAUCUAAUCAGCAUAAAAAGCCCACCAUGUAUGGAGACUCCAUACAUUAAAGCAGGGCUGGGGAACCUCUAGCCCAUGGGCCAACUUUGCUUUGACAAGGGCCCUAAUCUUUUCCUAUACCACAUACACCUGCCCCACAUCUGACAGAAUGUGACAUCAGGUGUGGUGGCAUGACUCAGUUCCUUGUCAGGAACUCGAUCAUACAGCCAAUUCCUGCAGAGUGCAAGUUGAUCAGCAGCCCUUCAAAGCACCAUGUGGGGCUCUUUGCAAACCUCACAUGGUGCUUUGAAGUCCUGACCAGCAAUGCUAGGUGCUUGCCAGGUGCACAACCCCACCUACCUGUCAAAUUUGCCCCUGGAAGUGGGAGAAGGAUCUGGCCUACAGGCCAGAACAGACUUCCCACCCCUGCAGUAAAUGAACCCAACUUAGGUUUAUUGUAUGACCAUUGCCAUCCCUCUCCAUGUCUUAUUUAAGGGACUGAUUAAUAGGAAGCCUAAAGUCAUUGUUUAUUUAUUUAAUGUACUUUAUUGUUAACUGUGGAUGUCUGUUUAAUGGAAGUGCC